AGAACGAACGCUGGCGGCAGGCUUAACACAUGCAAGUCGAACGCCCCGCAAGGGGAGUGGCAGACGGGUGAGUAACGCGUGGGAAUCUACCCAGUUCUACGGAAUAACACAGGGAAACUUGUGCUAAUACCGUAUACGCCCUACGGGGGAAGAUUUAUCGGGAUUGGAUGAGCCCGCGUUGGAUUAGCUAGUUGGUGGGGUAAUGGCCUACCAAGGCGACGAUCCAUAGCUGGUCUGAGAGGAUGAUCAGCCACACUGGGACUGAGACACGGCCCAGACUCCUACGGGAGGCAGCAGUGAGGAAUUUUCGGCAAUGGGGGCAACCCUGACCGAGCAACGCCGCGUGCAGGAGGAAGGUCUUCGGAUCGUAAACUGCUUUUCUGUGGGAAGAGAACGGACGGUACCACAGGAAGAAGCCCCGGCUAACUACGUGCCAGCAGCCGC
rnacentral:rRNA from 1 species